rnacentral:rRNA from 1 species
CCUACGGGAGGCAGCAGUGGGGAAUAUUGCACAAUGGGGGAAACCCUGAUGCAGCGACGCCGCGUGAGUGAAGAAGUAUUUCGGUAUGUAAAGCUCUAUCAGCAGGGAAGAAAUAGCGACCUUUGGGUCGCCAGACGGUACCUGAUUAAGAAGCCCCGGCUAACUACGUGCCAGCAGCCGCGGUAAGACGUAGGGGGCAAGCGUUAUCCGGAUUUACUGGGAGGAAAGGGAGCGUAGACGGUAGCGCAAGUCUGAAGUGAAAUGCCGGGGCUUAACCCCGGAACUGCUUUGGAAACUGUGCAGCUAGAGUGCAGGAGAGGUAAGUGGAAUUCCUAGUGUAGCCGUGAAAGUCGUAGAUAUUAGGAGGAACACCAGUGGCGAAGGCGGCUUACUGGACUGUAACUGACGUUGAGGCUCGAAAGCGUGGGGAGCAAACAGGAUUUGAUACCCCAGUAGUC